rnacentral:rRNA from 1 species
ACACUCCUACGGGAGGCAGCAGUGGGGAAUAUUGGACAAUGGGCGCAAGCCUGAUCCAGCCAUGCCGCGUGAGUGAUGAAGGCCCUAGGGUUGUAAAGCUCUUUCACCGGUGAAGAUAAUGACGGUAACCGGAGAAGAAGCCCCGGCUAACUUCGUGCCAGCAGCCGCGGUAAUACGAAGGGGGCUAGCGUUGUUCGGAUUUACUGGGCGUAAAGCGCACGUAGGCGGACUAUUAAGUCAGGGGUGAAAUCCCGGGGCUCAACCCCGGAACUGCCUUUGAUACUGGUAGUCUUGAGUUCGAGAGAGGUGAGUGGAAUUCCGAGUGUAGAGGUGAAAUUCGUAGAUAUUCGGAGGAACACCAGUGGCGAAGGCGGCUCACUGGCUCGAUACUGACGCUGAGGUGCGAAAGCGUGGGGAGCAAAUAGGAUUAGAUACCCUAGUAGUCCCAUGAU